rnacentral:lncRNA from 10 species
GCCGGGCGUAGUGGCGGGCGCCUGUAGUCCCAGCUACUUGGGAGGCUGAGGCAGGAGAAUGGCGUGAACCCGGGAGGCGGAGCUUGCAGUGAGCCGAGAUCCCGCCACUGCACUCCAGCCUGGGCGACAGAGCAAGACUCCGUCUCAAAAAAAAAAAAAAAAAAAAAAAAAAAAAAGGGUAAGUUAGAGGUGAUUAAAACAAUGGACAAUUUUUUUUUUUUUUGAGACUGAGUUUCGCUCUUGUUAUCCAGGCUGGAGUGCACUGGCACAAUCUCAGCUCACUGCAACCUCUGCCUCCUGGGUU